rnacentral:lncRNA from 1 species
UCUGGUAGUACCGGGUCUGGAGUACAGAGUGGUGGUAGUACCUGUGGUCUGUAGUACAUGGUGGUCUGGUAGUACCUGGUGGUCUGGUAGUCCAGAGUGGUCUGCGGUAUACCUGGUGGUUGUUAGACCUGGGUCUGGUAGUACGAGGUGGUCUGGUAGUACAGAGUGGUCUGGUAGUACCUGGUGGUCUGGUAGUACCUGGUGGUCUGUAGUACAGGUGGUCUGGUAGUACCUGGUGGUCUGGUUAGUACCUGGUGGUCUGGUAGUACGAGAGUGGUCUGGUAGUACAGAGUGGGUCUGGUAGUACCUGGUGGUCUGGUAGUACCUGGUGGCCUGGUAGUACUGUGCUGUUAGUACAGAGUGGUCUGGUAGUACAGAGUGGUUGGUAGUACAGAGUGG